UACGUAGGGUGCGAGCGUUGUCCGGAAUCAUUGGGCGUAAAGAGCGUGUAGGCGGCCCGGUAAGUCCGCUGUAAAAGUCAAAGGCUCAACCUUUGAAUGUCAGUGGAUACUGCCGGGCUAGAGUCCGGAAGAGGCGAGUGGAACUCCUGGUGUAGCGGUGGAAUGCGCAGAUAUCAGGAAGAACACCAACGGCGAAGGCAGCUCGCUGGGACGGUACUGACGCUGAGACGCGAAAGCGUGGGGAGCAAACAGG
rnacentral:rRNA from 1 species